rnacentral:rRNA from 1 species
UAUUUAAAUACCUGGUAUCUUAGGCAUAGGUUAAGUACACCAAUAUUUUCCUUUCGAACUUGGUAGUUAAAGUCUAUUGCGGUAAAAAUACUGUGGGAAGGGUCCUACGGAAAAAAAGCUUGAUGCCAGAAU